rnacentral:siRNA from 1 species
UCCAAGGGGAAGCCCCAAGAGGAG